rnacentral:lncRNA from 1 species
CCAGUGACCUCCCAGUAACACCAGUAUGGGACUGGGACCAUCCCAGUUUGGAACUGGGACCCUCCCAGUGCUCCCAGUUUGGGGCUGAAUUUCCUCGGAGUUGCCCCAAAUUCCCCCCCCCAAAUCCCAAAUCCCAAAUUUUGGUCCCUUCCCAAAAACCGAAAUUCCCAAAUUUUAAAGCUCCAAAGUUUUUAUUGGAUUCGUUCUCAAGUUUUGUUCAUUGAAGGGAAAAAUUCCCCAAAAAAAAAGAGAAAACAAAAAAAUAAAAAACCCCAAAAGUUGGGAAAAAAUGGAAAAAAAUAAUGGGAAAAAU